GGGGAAUUUUCCGCAAUGGGCGAAAGCCUGACGGAGCAAGACCGCGUGGGGGAUGAAGGUUUGUGGAUUGUAAACCCCUUUUGAUUGGGAAGAAUACUGACGGUACCAAUCGAAUAAGCCUCGGCUAACUCCGUGCCAGCAGCCGCGGUAAUANCGGAGGAGGCAAGCGUUAUCCGGAAUUAUUGGGCGUAAAGCGUCCGUAGGUGGUUUAGUAAGUCCGCUGUUAAAGCGCGGGGCUUAACUCCGUAUCGGCAGUGGAAACUACUAGACUAGAGUGUGGUAGGGGUAGAGGGAAUUCCCAGUGUAGCGGUGAAAUGCGUAGAUAUUGGGAAGAACACCGGUGGCGAAAGCGCUCUACUGGGCCAUAACUGACACUGAUGGACGAAAGCUAGGGGAGCGAAUAGGGAUUAGAUACCCCUGUAGUC
rnacentral:rRNA from 1 species